UACGGGGGGAGCAAGCGUUGUUCGGAUUUACUGGGCGUAAAGGGCGCGUAGGCGGUCAGCACAAGUCAGUUGUGAAAUCUCCGGGCUUAACUCGGAAAGGUCAACUGAUACUGUGCGACUAGAGUGCAGAAGGGGCAAUUGGAAUUCUCGGUGUAGCGGUGAAAUGCGUAGAUAUCGAGAGGAACACCUGCGGCGAAGGCGGGUUGCUGGGCUGACACUGACGCUGAUGCGCGAAAGCCAGGGGAGCGAACGGG
rnacentral:rRNA from 1 species